AAAGUUCCUAAAACUGGACCCAGUCGCUUGAACUGAAGACUCACGUUCAACGCGGAGGCUAUGAGUGUGGGUAUUAUGUGAUGCAUUGGAUGUGGAACAUAAUUGGCGCGGAGUUGAAGAGUGAUUGGACUGUGUGGUUCGGUGAUGGCUCGGCACUAGACUCGGAGGCGAUCAC